rnacentral:rRNA from 1 species
CCUACGGGAGGCAGCAGUAGGGAAUCUUCCACAAUGGACGAAAGUCUGAUGGAGCAACGCCACGUGAGUGAUGAAGGGUUUCGGCUCGUAAAACUCUGUUGUUGGAGAAGAACAGGUGAUAGAGUAACUGUUAUCAUCUUGACGGUAUCCAACCAGAAAGCCACGGCUAACUACGUGCCAGCAGCCGCGGUAAU